UAUCCUAUCCUAUCCUCAAAAAAUGCAAAAAAAAAUCCAAAGUGAAAAUUUUGAGAAAUUCUUUCUAUUUUAUGAUUCCUUAACGAAUUUCGAAUCGUGGAGUGCUUUUGGAUUUUCAAAAAUCGAAAAACGAAGAAGUUACAGCAUUUUUGACCUUAAAAAAAUGCAUGCUUUAGGAUUUUCGAAAUUCGAAUGGUAUUUGGCUUAUUUUAUGUUAUUCAACGGCCAAGGUUUUAUAAAGGCGAUUUUGUGGUACAUAUAACGGCCAAAAGACUGAAUGGAUUUUAAUUGAAUUGGACAUCAAUCCAAAGAUAUUUUUAGAGAAGCGACGAAUAUAUUAUUGGAAAUUAUUUUGUCUUAAAGAAAUGUCAUAAAAAUGAACAAUCAAUUUUCAAUUAAUAAAGAAGAAUCAUGAACACAUCAAA